GGCCAUAAUCCAAAGGCAACAGGCGAGCAACCAGGCUUCUCCAAUUCAAUGUGGCAAGAUUGCUCUCGUCACAGUCCUGAAUAACUGUUCGUGUGGAAGUUAGUCGUGUGCCUCGUUGUUCGGGAGUUGGUUUUCACCGAUUCACCGAACGCCAUCUCUUUCGGAUGGAGUAGGAUGAAGCUAAGUGAUCCUGGAAGUCUCGGCAGUGUUCGGGCCGUCGAGUAUCCGAAAAUAGUUACAUACACUCGAUGACCAAACCCCACUGGAUGCUUUUGACAAAACAAGAUGGCCGCCGCCACGUGUUCAUGCAUACGAAUCGAUGGCCACCUAGUGAACCACUUAGAAUGUUCAGAGUUGUGGAUUGGAACAGUGUCAAUAAAGUUAAUUGACGGCACUGACUGCCUUGGGUGGUCCAAGGGUACGGUAAAGCAUUCAGUAUACGAACCAGCUAGGGUAAAGUCUGUUCGUUUUGGUUCAUAUACGAUUUAGACGAAUGGAAAUUCAAACAAGGUUCAGAAUUGCAAUAACACAUAACUCCAAAGGAAUAGGGCAUCUGUUACAAAGGUUUUUGACACUGUUUCACAUAGAAGGCGUAUCAAUAAACUGCAAUCUUUAAGUUUGGAUUCCAAUAUUGUUGAAUGGGAAAGGCAGUGGCUAAGUUACAUAGCUGAAAAGAGACUUUUGUUGAUCCAAAAGAAGGCAACAAACUAGGAAGAAAUUCCUUCUUGACCCCAAAAUAGCAGUCAGCUAGGAUCAAGCAGCUAUUAUCCCACCAAUUAGAAAUUAUAUCCCUGCAUGUUAUGUUUUUGCAAGUAUUUAUCCAAUUGCAGUUUAAACAUCUGUAUGCCGUUUAAACAUCUGGUAUGAUAUGAUAAAACCACCUCUUCAGGCAGAGAAUUCCAUAUCCUUAUUACUCUUUCUGUAAAAAAACGUUUUCUUUGCCUUAGAUGAAAUCUCCUUUCUUCCAGCCUAAAUGUGUGUCCUAUGUAUAGCCCGGUUUAUGAAUAGAUUUCCAGAUAAUGGUUUGUACUGGCCCCGAAUAUAUUUGUAUAAUGUUAUCAUAUCCUCUCUGAGGCGCCGUUUUUCCAAACUAAAGAGAUUUCAUUUUUUUAACCUUUCUUCGUAACUAAAAUGCUCCAUUCCUUUUAUCAAUUUUGUAGCUCGUCUCUGCAUUUUUUCUAGUGCCAUGAUAUCCUUAUUUAGAGCAGGUGCCCAAAUUUGCACAGUCUUACCAGCGAUUUAUAAAGAGGCAAAAUUAUAUUUUCAUCCCAAGAAUUGAUGCCCCUAUUUAUACAUGACAAAACCUUACUGGCCUUAGCAACUGCAGAUUGACAUUGCAUAUUGCUGCCUAAUUUGUGGUCUACAACAAUUCCCAAAUCCUUUUCGUGUGUGGUUAUCCCUACUUCACUACCAUUUAGGGUGUUAGUUGCUUGUGCAUUCUUGACCCCAAAGUGCAUAACUUUGCAUUUCUCUACGUUAAAUUUCAUCUGCCAUUUUGUUUGAAUAGUUUCCAUUCAUUCUCAGUGUUUUUUUCCCUCUGCAGCAAAGCAAUAUCCUGCUCACAUUUUAUUACUUUGCAAAGUUUUGUGUCAUCUGCAAACACCGAAACAUGGCUUUCAAUGUCCAUUUAUAAAUAUGUUAAAAAGAAGCGGUCCCAAAACAGAACCCUGAGGGACACCACUUACCACUUUUGUCCAGCCUGAAAAUGUACCAUUAAUGACAACUCGUUGUACUCUAUCCUUAAGCCAAUGUUCUACCCAAGAACAAGAAUAAUCACAUAUACCAAUUUCUUUUAGUUUGAAGACUAACCUGUUGUGAGGAACCGUAUCAAAUGCCUUUGCAAAAUCCAAGUAGAUCACAUCCACUGCAACACCCUGAUCUAUACUUCUACUUCUUCGUAGGAUGCAAUUAGGUUAGUUUGACAUGACAUAUGUUUCAUGAAACCAUGCUGACUAUUGCUAAUAACAAAGUUCUUCCCAAUGAAUGAAUUCCUGAAUCUUAUCUUAUCCCUUAAUAGCCCUUCAAAUAUUUUCCCAGUCACAGAAGUUAAGCUCACAGGUCUAUAAUUUCCAGGCAAGGAUUUUGAACCCUUUUUAAAUAUAGGAAUACCUGAAACAAAAGAAUAUUGAAAAAUUAAAUACAGAGGUUCAAUUAUUUCAGUACUUAGCUCUUUACUCGUGGGUGAAUACCGUCAGGCCCCGGGGCUUUAUUUACAUUAAUUUUCUCUAACAGCUGUAGCACAUUGUCUUGAGUUAUCCAAUCACAAGGUAUCUGCAAGUUUUUUGCAGCAAUCAUUUGCAUAUCUCUUGCCACAGGAUCUUUUUUAAUAUAUACUGAAGAAAAAUAGUUAUUUAAAAUUUCUGUCUUUUCCUAGUCUUCAUUAACUAACAGACCCAUCUCUGUUUCCAGUGUACCUACACUUUCAUUUUUUGGUUUUUUUUAGAAUUGAUGUACUUGAAAAAUGUUUUGGGGUUGGUUUUGCAUUCAUUGGCUAUCAAUUUCCCAUGUUCUAGUUUAGCCACUUUAAUUGUCUUUUUGCAAGCAUUAUUGGCUUACUUAUAUCUUAUAUAGGAUGCCUCUGAUUUGUCCAAUUUAAAUGCUUUAAAUGCCCUUUUAUUAUGUUUAAUCGCUUGUUUUACUUCUCUACUAAGCCACAUUGGUUUCAAUCGGGGGUCAAGUCCUGGGGAAAAAAGUGUGGGAACUCACCCAAGAUUUCCGCCUCCCCUCCCCCCUUAAAAAAAAAAAAAAAAUUACACUCCUAUGCCUAUAGUGGAGGGUGUGUAUAAUGAAUGUAGUGUGUUUGUAGUGAAUGCAGAGUAUGAAUUAUAAAUGUAGUGUGUUUGUAGUGACUGCAGUGUGAAUAAUAAUUGUAGUGUAUUUGUAGUGAGUGCAGAGUGUGGAUAAUGAAUGCAGUGUGUUUUUAGUGAGUGCAGAGUGUGUAUAAUAAAUGUAGUGUAUUUGUAGUGAGUGCAGUGUGUAUAAUAAAUGUAGUGUGUUUGUAGUGAGUGCAGUGUGUAUAGCGAAUGCAGUGUUUUUGUAGUGAGUGCAGAGUGUGCAUAAUGAAUGCAGAGUGUGUAUAGUGAAUGUAGUGUGUUUGUAGUGAGUGCAGUGUGUAUAAUGAAUGUAGUGUGUUUGUAGUAAGUGCAAAUUGUGUAUAAUGAAUGUAGUGUGUUUGUAGUGAGUGCAGUGUGUACAAUGAAUGCAGUGUAUGUAGUGUGUUUGUAGUGAAUGCAGAAUGUGUAUAAUGAAUGCAGAGGGUGUAUAGUGAAUGUAAUGUGUUUGUAGUGAGUGUAUAGUGAAUGUAGUGUGUUUGUAGUGAGUGAAGAGUGUGUAUAAUGAAUGCAGUGUGUGCGUGUGCUGGAUGACGUGUAUGCGCGCUGGAUGGUGUGUGUGAGUGCUCGAUGGUGUGUGUGAGUGCUCGAUGGUGUGUGUGUGCUGGAUGAUGUGUGUGUGAGUGCUGGAUGAUGUGUGUGUGUGUGAGUGCUGGAUGAUGUGUGUGUGAGUGCUGGAUGAUGUGUGUAUGUGUGUGUGCUGGAUGAUGUGUGUGAGUGCUGGAUGAUGUGUGUGUGUGCUGGAUGAUGUGUGUGUGUGCUGGAUGAUGUGUGUGUGUGCUGGAUGAUGUGUGUGUGUGCGUGCUGGAUGAUGUGUGUGUGUGCGUGCUGGAUUAUGUGUGUGUGUGAGUGCUGGAUGAUGGGUGUGUGUGUGCUGGAUGAUGGGUGUGUGUGUGCUGGAUGAUGGGUGUGUGUGUGCUGGAUGAUGGGUGUGUGAGUGCUGGAUGAUGGGUGUGUGUGGGGGGGUAGCAUUUUUUUACUUUAUGUAUAAUUUGUAUUUAUCCCCCCUCCCUGCUUCUUACCUUGUCAGGGAGGGGGGAGAUCGCCUGGUGGUCCGGUGGAGGGAGGCAGCCGCUGCACACAGGAGCCAUCACACACUGUGUUCCCUCUCCAGCUUUAACUCUCGCGAGACUCGCCUGUGCGGAGCGUUGCCAUGGAAACAGCCGCGGGUCUCGCGAGAGUUAUAGCUGGAGAGGGAACACAGCGUGUGAUGGCCCCUCUGUGCAGGUAGCAGGGCCGGUCCUGCAGGACAGGUAACGGGAACGGCGUUCCUGCUUUGGAAAAAGUGCAGGAACGCCGUUCCCAUGCGUUCCUGCAAGACUCGAGCCCUGGUUUCAAUUUGUUUCUUACCCAAUGGUACAUACUGAGAAAUGUACCUUUCUAAUAUUUGUUUGAAUACUUUCAAUUUAUCCUCAGUGUUUUUGUCACUAAGGAGUUUAUGCCAGUCAAUAUGUUGUAGAGCUGCCCUAAUCUUAUUGAAAUUUGCUUUUUUUAAAUUAUACGUUUUAGUAUACCCCACAUGCUUUAGUUUUUUUGAGUUUAUUUCAAAAUUUACCAUAUUGUAAUCACUAUUUCCCAAAUGCUCCCCUACUUGAAUGUUGGUCAAAAGAUCAACAUUGUUUGUUAUAACGAAAUCCAGACGAGCAUCUUUUCUAGUUGGUGCUUGUACCAGUUGUGACAUAAAUGUGUCAUUUAACACAUUCAAAAACCUGAUUCCCCUUGCUGACGUACUAGUCACUCUAUCCCAAUUUAUGUCAGGGUAAUUAAAAUCUCCAAUAAUUAACGUGUUACCCCGAUUUGCAGCUUUCCCAAUUUGCAGCUGUUCUUCCUCAUUAAUAUUUACAUUAGGUGGUUUAUAACAUAUCCCAACCAAAAAUUGAUUUUCCUUUGUUUGCCACAAGCAGAUAUCUAUCCAUAAAGUUUCCACAUUUUCCUCGUCACACUCCACAUGCCUAAGAUUUGACUUUAACUCUUGGUUGACAUACAAACAUACCCCACCACCCUUCUUGUUUUUCCUGUCCUUCCUAAAUAACGUGUACCCAUUUAAGUUAACUGCCCAAUCAUGUGUCUCAUCCCACCAUGUUUCUGUUAUGCCUAUUAUAUCAUAUUGUUUAGUGUAUGCUAUUGCCUCUAGUUCCCCCAUUUUGUUAUAUAGGCUUCUUGCAUUAGUAAGCAUACAUUUAAUAUUGUCCUGAGUCAUUUGUACUUUUUGUGAAUUUUCAGCAAUAUUACAUACCUCCUCUGUUCUGAGUUUUCCCAUCCCCCAUCUCCACCACCCUUACACUGAACUAAACCCCAUCUCCUUUCUAUCAUAUCUCCAUUUUCUAGAUUGCAUUGACCCUCCCCCCUACUACUAGUUUAAAAUCUCCUCCAACCUUCUAGCCAUCCUUUCCCCAAGCACAGCAGAGCCUCUUCCGUUUAGGUGCAAUCCAUCAGGACUAUACAGGUUGUACCAAGCGCAUCAUCGGCCCAGUGCUCUAAAACCUCAAAACCCUCUUUCCUGCACCAAGACUUCAGUCACGCAUUGAUCUCUCUAAUCUCCCGCUGCCUUUCUGCUGUAGCGGGUGGCACAGGUAAUAUUUCUGAAAAUAUUACCUUGGAGGUCCUUUUCUUUAGCUUACUUCCUAGUUCCCUGAACUAAUUCUUUAGGACCUUCCAUUUUCCUCUGACUUUGUCAUUGGUACCAAUAUGGACCAUGACAGCUGGGUCAUCUCCAGCCCCUCCCAAUAAUCCCUCCACUCUGUCGACAACAUGCCGGACCCGAGCACCCGGGAGACAGCAAACUGUCCGUUUGAGACGAUCAGAGUGGCAGAUUACCCCAUCUACUCUCACCACAACCUGUCUAGCCUUCCUUACCCUCUCAACCUUAUCCGUAAUAGAGGGGCUGUUCCCACGGCUAUAAGAAGGAACUAAAACUAGCAAAUCUGUUCGGCUGCACAAGAUCAGGACUAGCUAAACCUUUCCUCUUCCCUCCCAGCCGCAUCCUCGCCCCACUGUCACCCAGCUAUGUGCCUGUUCCCCAUCUGUCUUAUCUCCUCCCUCUCCACUACCUGUCCCCACUAAACUCUGCUCAGUGAGCAGCAGACUCCUCUCAAGAUUGUCAAUCUCCCUCAGUGUUACAAUUUGCCUCUCCAGAUCUCUAAUCUGAGCUUCCAGAAAAGCCACUCGCUCACACCCACCACAGAGGUAUGGACCCUGGACAGAAUCAUCCAGGCAUGCAUGCAUACAUAAAAACAAAAUAAAGAGUAAGCGCUAAAUAACAGAUGGGCAGCAACCCUAUAAGGGAAUCCCUCAAACACCCUUAAGAAGUAAAACUGGAAAGUAGAAUAACAGAUAAGGGCUGCGCCAGAAGAACUAGAUAUGAGAUAAAAAUAACAAAUAGUCCAAAUAAAAUAAAUAAAAAGGAAAAAGUCUUAUCUAAAAAGAUCUUUUUGGAGACGUAGAGUUUAUAAGUGCUUGGUCCAGAACAAUUGUCCUUGCUGUUCUCCUCCGUAUGGAUCCACUCAUAUGUAAGAAAUAAAAAUAAAUAGAGAACCAAAUAGUGCUUGAUGAUAAAAAGUAAUAAAAUAUAAAAGGCUGGAAUAAAACUCACAUUUUUAAGAGCUUUAACCCGCUCUAGUAUGAAAGGCGUACAGCAGUUUGAUCCCCGCUUAUGGGAUAUACCCCAUGGUCUUAAUGUUGAUUUUGAUUUGUUCAAUUUUUUAUAACUAAAUUUUUUUUUAAUGUUUUAUAUCAUUUAUUACUGAAUGUUUUUAAAUGAUUUGCCUAAUUUCUUAAUUUUUAUAUUGAUUUCUAACCUAUUAUAGGAUGUCUUAAAAUAUUUAGCACACUUUAUAUUUAGGUUAUUAUCCCCAGAUGGGUUAUAUCUAUGGUGUGUCUUUAUAUCACUGUUUUGAUUAUGCCUGAUUACACUUUUUAGUGUAUCAGGCAUAUUCAACAUCCAGCCGGCUGCAGCUCUGUGCAUGCUGACAGUUUCCUUCCCAUUGCCAUGACGACGGCUGCAGCAUCGUGCGAGCUGUCGUCUUUGCUAUUCAGCUUUCUUUCCAUGACGACCGCCGCAGCUUUGUGCGUGCCGUCGUCGGCUUAACUCACGCCCCCUUCUUCUGCUUACCCACUCGCCUAGAUGCCGGCGGCUGCGCAGUGCGCGCCGGCAUCUAACUCCAUUCCCCAACACUCAUUGCGGCUGACCGUCGGUCACAUGACCGCACAACAUAGACGCCCCACGGCAGCUGCGCAGUGCGUGCCGGCGUCUAACUACAUUUCCCAACACUCAUUGCGGCCGACUGCCGGUUACAUGACCGCACAAUAUAGAGCAGUUCAAAUAUAAAACUAACCCUCGUUUUUCAUAUAUUAUUGUAUAUUAUAAUAUAAUAUAAUUAUAAAAUAUUUAAAUUAGUUAAUUAAAUAAAUUGAACCCCUGAAGGUUAAAAAAUAAAUAAAAGUUAAUCGUCAGGGGUUAAAAAAAAUUAGAUCACAGUAUAAUACAGAUCACAGUAUUAUACUGUGAUCUAAUUUUUUUUAACCACUGUAGGCAGCGAUCGACUGGCAUGGAAGGGGUUAAUUUUUAUUUGGAUACAAUACAAAAGUGAAAAAUUCCUCAAACAUAAACAAAGGUGCUACAAUCACCAAGGUGGGCCACAAUCACCACCCUAAAAUACAGUAAUAAACACACAAACAAGUAAUGGUGAGAGCACGCAAAUAAAUUAAAUUGAUAUUACCUACAAAUAAUGUUCAAAUUAUUCCCUGAAAUAAAACAAGGGAAAAAAGACAUAGGGUAAUAGAGUAGAAACUAUAAAUCAAAUGGACAUAUUAGUCCCACUCACAUAUAAGGAGCCACUUAAAAAGCUGGCUCAGACUGCAUGCCUUGAACGAUUAGAAAUUCCAAUGGACCCUUCUUCAUAUUUCUAUAUAAAGUACCUCCAGGACGCCGAUUCAGGGGGUUACAAAACAAUUUAUUUUUCAAAAAAAACAGGAAACAAAUUAAAAUUCGAAAAUACUAGAAGAAUGUCCAAUAAAAACAGGAAUCCACAACACCUUACACGUUUCGGCAGUUAAGCCUUCAUCAGAGGUAUUGUGUUUACUCGUGGCGUGCAGUCUUUUAAAUCCUCCUUUUGGCGCCCUUUUCCGCCGUCAUCUCGGCACUUCACUUCCGGGUUCUGCGUCAGAGCGUCAUCUGCGUCCUCACGCUCUAUCGCCACUUCUGGUCCAUACGUCCGGACGUGUCUGAAACGUCUGGCGUCCUCUUCUAUCAGGACAAUUACUUAGUUGGCGAAAUGGAGCAAAAUAGGAUAUACAAUGUACUUUACAAAAUUACAUAAUAAAAUAAACUUAAAUUAAAUCAAAUUAUAUUGUUGUUGGAUUAAUUUAACCAUCUAAAAUGAUACCAUAGAUAAUGUAUACUCUUCUUAACUUAUAUAUUUCAAUACAUAUACAAGUCUAAAAACAACAAACCUUAUAAAAAAUAUAAACCAAUGUUUAAAUAUAAAUUGAACCUUGAUAAUGGAGAUACUUUAUUAAAUUUGGUCAUUUAAAAUAGAGACCAAAUUUAAUAUUUAGAUGACCAAAUUUAAUAUAGUAUCUCCAUUAUCAAGGUUCAAUUUAUAUUUAAACAUUGGUUUAUGUGAGUGGGACUAAUAUGUCCAUUUGAUUUAUAGUUUCUACUCUAUUACCCUAUGUCUUUUUUCCCUUGUUUUAUUUCAGGGAAUAAUUUGUGGGUAAUAUCAAUUUAAUUUAUUUUUGUGCUCUCACCAUUACUUGUUUGUGUAAUUUUUAUUUGGACUGGCUAAAGGGGGUGUUUUUUUAUUUUUUAUUUAAACGUUAUUAAAAAAAAUUAACUUAAUUUUGAACUUUUUAAAGCUUAUUUUAAAACUUUUUUUUUAACGUUAACCCCUAGUUAGCCUAACACCAAAAGCCCCAAUUCCCCACUAACUUCCACCCACCCCAGCUAGCUAAAUUUAUAAUUUUAAAAUACUUAAAUUAAUUAAUAAAAUAAAUUUAACCCCCGAGGGUUAAAAAAAAAACAAUUAACCCUCACGGGUUAAAAAAAAAUCAGAUCAUAGUAAAAUGUAAUCCCUGCCAAUUGAUCACUGUAGUCAGUGAUUAAUUGGCAGGGAAGGGGUUAAUUUUUUUUAAUUAAAAUGGGUAAAGGGGGGUGGGAUUCUAAAUUAACUUUAUUUUUUCUAACAGGGGGCAGGAUCAGUGAUGAUCCGUCUCCCUGUACUUCACACAGAACCAGGAAGUGCAGGGAGGCGGAAGGUGAGUAUAUGCAGCACAUUUGCUCGCUCUGACAUGCUGUCUGAGCGAGCACAUGUGCUGGGGCAGCCUGAUCGGGUGCUCCCGGUCUGCCUCUAAUACAGAUACAUAAUACAGAGGCAGACCGGAGCACCAUUAACCCCGCGAUCGCCGCGCUCAUGGCGAUCUGGGGUUAAUUUUACUGCAUGACGGACGUGGUCCGUCACUUGUCGUUAAGGGUUUGCCCUGAGUGAAGGACCUCGAAAAUAUAUAGGAAAAAAAAAAGGACAAAGUUUAAAUAAACCCAGCAAAGAAUAAAAAUAUAUAUAAGAAAAGGGGGAAAAGUUAAAAAAAUUUAAAUAAAUCAAAACAGCAAGGAGAAAAAUAAAUAAAAAAAAGGGUCAAAGUUUAAAAAAUAAAUAAAAAAUUAACCCCUUAAGGACCAAACUUCUGGAAUAAAAGGGAGUCAUGACAUGUCACACAAGACAUGUGUCCUUAAGGGGUUAAACCUGCUUUUUUUUCACUUGGUAUUAACUAAUACCAACCACAGUCCAUCAGUUCUCCAACAAACUCCUGUUGUUUUAACUCCUUCUUAAAAGAGACUACUUUAAAUAGCCUACUUUCAAGCAAACUCCAGUGAGCAAGCUCUGUGAGUCAGGCAACAGAGGGUUGUAGUCAAUGGAGUAUAUUCAAAGCAAGGUCUAGUUACCAGUGGGGAUCUGUACUUGGACUCAUUCUCUCGAAUAUUUUUAUUAGUGAUAUUGUAGAAGGUCUUGAUGGUAAGGUAUGUCUUUUUGCUAAUGAUACUAAAAUUUGCAACAGGGUUGAUUUUCCAGGAGGGAUAAGCCAAACGGCAAAUGAUUUAGGUAAACUAGAAAAAUGGUCAGAGCUGUGGCAACUGACAUUUAAUGUGGAUAAGUGCAAGAUAAUGCAUCUUGGAUGUAAAAACCCAAGGGCAGUAUAGAUUAUUUGCUACCUUACUAACCUCAACAUCUGAGGAAAGGGAUUUAGGAAUAAUUAUUUCAGAUGAUUUAAAGUUAGGCAGACAAUAUAAUAGAGCAGCAGGAAAUGUUAGCAGAAUACUUAGUUGUAUAGGGAGAGGUAUUCGCAGUAGAAAGAGAGACCUCAAUUGGAGUAUUGUACACAGUACUGGAGACCGUAUUUUCAGAAGAUACUUCGGAAAGAGUUCAGAGAAGGGCUACUAAACUAGUACAUGGAUUACAUGAUAAAAAUUUACAAGGAAAGGUUAAAGGAUCUUAAAAUGUAUAAUUUGGAGGAAAAACGAGACUGGGGAUAUGAUGGAAACAUUUAAAUGCAUAAAUGAAAUCAACACAGUAAAGAAGGAGACUAUAUUUAAAAGAAGAAAAACUACCACAACAAGAGGUCAUGGUCUGAAAUUAGAUGAGCAAAGGUUUAAAAAUAUCAGGAAGCAUUACUUUACUGAGAGGGUAGUGGACACAUGGAAUAACCUUCCAGCUGGGGUGGUAGAGGUUAACACAGUGAAGGAGUUUAAGCAUGUGUGGGAUAGGCAAGGCUAUCCUAGACUUAAAGGACCACUAUAGUGCCAGGAAAACAUACUCACUUUUCUGGUACUAUAGUGCCCUGAGGGUGCCCCCACCCUCAGGGACCCCCUCCCGCAGGGCUGGAUGGCGAGGAAAGGGUUAAAUCUUACCUUUUUUCCAGCGCCGGGAGGGGAGCUGCUCUCCUCCUCUCCGGCUGAAUGCGCAUGUGCGGCAGGAGCCGCGCGCGCACUCAGUCUGUCUCAUAGGAAAGCAUUCAUAAUGCUUUCCUAUGGACGCUUGCGUCUUCUCACUGUGUUUUUGACAGAAGCACGCAAACGCCUCUAGCGGCUGUCAAUGAAACAGCAACUAGAGGCUUUAGAGGCUGGAUUAACCCUAUUAUAAACUGCUAUGUUUAUAAAAAAAAAAUGGGUUAACCCUAGCUGGACCAGGCACCCAGACCACUUCAUUAAGCUUAAGUGGUCUGGGUGCCUAGAGUGGUCCUUUAAGAUAAGGCCAGGAACUAAUGAAAGUAUUUAGAAAAUUGGGCAGACUAGAUGGGCCAAAUGGUUCUUAUCUGCUGUCACAUUCUAUCUUUCUCUGUGGAGUCUUCGGUGCAAUCUUUCCAUUCAACGUUAACUAUUUUUUAUAUUUUAAUGCUAUACAAGUAUCCCCAGAGAUCAUCCCUCUUUGCUGCUUGUUCUAUGAUAAAGCUUUAGCCUGAACAGCAGUGGGCAGCAUUGGUUGGCAUAGCAUUCUACCUGACUACUGACAGCUAUACAAAGAACCAAUUUCUGGUAUAAAUUGCUAUGGCCAGAAAGAAGUAUCUCUGCCUUAGCCGUAGCUCCAGUAGGGAGUGGUCUGUGGGUAACUAAAGACCCUUAUUUAGUGUUGAAGGGUCUUUAGUUACCCACAACUCAUUGAAGUGGUUUGGGUGCUAUGUACCAUCACCCUUAACCCUGAGUAUGUAAUUAUUGCACUUUUUGUUAUUAUUAUUAUUAUGUUAUUAUGUAUAUAGUGCCAACAAAUUCUGCAGUGCUUUACAGUGGGUGGACAAACAAACAUGUAGUUGUAACCAGACAAGUUGGACACACAGGAACAGAGGGAUUGAGGGUCCUGCUCAAUGAGCUUACAUGUUAGAGGGAGUUGGGUAAAGUGACACACAAGUAAAACAAGAGAUUAAAAAUAAGAAAAGGGCAUUUAAAGCAUUUAAAUCGGACAAAUCAGAGCCAGCCUACAUAAGAUAUAAGGAAGCCCAUAAUUCUUGCAAAAAGGCAAUUAAAGUGGCUAAACUAGAAAAUGAGAAAUUGAUAGGCAAAGAAUGCAAAACCAAACCAAAUUUUUUUUUCAAGUACAUAAUUUCUAAAAAAACAAAAAAUGAAACUGUAGGUACACUGAAAACAGAGAUGGGUCUGUUAGCUAAUGAAGACCAGGAAAAGACAGAACUUUUAAAUAACACUUUUUCUUCAGUAUAUAUUAAUGAGGAUCCUAUGGCAAGGGAUAUGCAAAUGAUUGCUGCAAAAAACUUGCAGAUAACUUGUGAUUGGAUGAUUCAAGACAAGGUGCUACAGGAAUUAACGAAAAUGAAUGUAAAUAAAGCUCCGGGUCCUGAUGGUAUUCACCCACAAGUAGUUAAGGAGCUAAGUGGGGCGAUAAGUGAACCUCUCUCUAUUUAAUUUUUAAAGAUUCUUUUGUUUCAGGUAUUGUACCAAAGGAUUGGAGGAAGGCAGAUGUCGUUGCUAUGUUUAAAAAGGGUUCAAAAUCCUUGCCUGGAAAUUAUAGACCUGUGAGCUUAACUUCUGUGACUGGGAAAAUAUUAAUUAAAUAUUAAGGGAUAAUAUUCAGGAAUUCAUUGGGAAGAACUUUGUUAUUAGAAGGGAGGUCGGCAGAAAAAGUGUCCGUUUUCAGUUCCGUGAAAUCAAUGCCGAACACCGCUGGUCUUUCGCAUGGUUUGAAAUGGCCGCCGCCUCGUGGUCGACGUACGAACAAUGACCACCCUGUAUUCGGUUUUCAUUGAGAAGUGUCUGCGGUUAACCACAAUGUUCUAAUUGGGAUCAAGAGGUUAACCAGCAGCACACUUCUCUUCUGGGUGGCCGUCCGUUCUGUAGUUUUGUUUGGCGGAAGAGUCAAUUCACUGAACAGCGGCAUACGAACGGGUAAUUCCACGAAAAGGCAAAACAGACGAACCAGCAAUCCCAGUCUAUACAGAUGGAUCUGUCACAGGGCUAUUAAGGGAUAAUAUUCAGGAAUUCAUUGGGAAGAACUUUGUUAUUAGCAAUAAUCAGCAUGGUUUUAUGAAACAUAGGUCAUGUCAAACUAACCUAAUUGCAUUCUACGAAGAAGUAAGUAGAAGUAUAGACCAGGGUGUUACAGUGGAUGUGAUCUACUUGGAUUUUGCCAAGGCAUUUGAUACGGUUCCUCACAAUAGGUUAGUCUUCAAACUAAAAGAAAUAGGUCUAGAUGAAUGUUCUUGGGUAGAACAUUGGCUUAAGGAUAGAGUACAACGAGUUGUCAUAAAUGGUAAAUUGUCAGGCUUGACAAAAGUGGUAAGUGGUGUCCCUCAGGGUUCUGUUUUGGGACCGCUUCUAUUUAACAUAUUUAUAAAUGAUCUUGAAAUGGGCAUUGAAAGUCAUGUAUCAGUGUUUGCAGAUGACACAAAACUUUGUAAAGUAAUAAAAUGUAAGCAGAAUAUUGCUUUGUUGCAGAAGGAUUUGGAUAUAUUGGGGGACUGGGCACUAAAAUGGCAGAUGAAAUUUAACAUAGAGAAAUGCAAAGUUAUGCACUUCGGGGUCAGGAAUGCACAAGCAACGAACACCCUAAAUGGUAGUGAAUUAGGGAUAACCACACACGAGAAGGAUUUGGGAAUUGUUAUAGACCACAAAUUAGGCAGCAAUAUGCAAUGUCAAUCUGCAGUUGCUAAGGCUAGUAAGGUUUUGUUAUGUGUAAAUAGAGGCAUAAAUUUUCGGGAUGAAAAUAUAAUUUUGCCUCUUUAUAAAUUGCUGGUAAUACCACACCUUGAAUAUGCUGUGCAGUUGUGCAAAUAUGCUGCUGCUUCUGUCAGAGAUAGGUAGACUAGUUUUUAUAGAAAAUGUUUAAUAAUGUAACUUCUGUCUUUUUAGAUAUGGUAUUAAAAAUAGGGAUGAAGUUGUCUUUGUGAAGAAGCUGAAAAAGAAAUAGGGUCUUUGGUAAGUUAUUUUACAUUUCAAAUUAAAUAUGUUAAUAAUUAAUAUGUUAAACCUAAAACCUUUUAUACAGAUAAGUGGUAAUAAUAAGAAUAAGUGCAUCAAUUAUGGAUAUCAAUGAAAAGUACAAACAUAGAAAACCAGUAUGCAAAUUUCUCAUGUUAGUGGGACAAAAUAUUAAAAUAAAUAUUUAAAUAUUUGAAACCAAUCUCCGUUAACUGGUUAAUUCCCAAGGAAAAGAAAGAAGACCGAUAUGUCCCAGAACAAGGAAUGGUGCAAAGCAGGGUUCUCGAAAGGAGCAUAUCUCGGAGCAGCCUGCAGACCGAGAGGCUUAACCCAAUGCAAGAGUCCUGAGAGGGAACAUAAGCCACCAAAAUGGUGGAACGGAAGACAAAAAUAGGCCAGAAAGACUUACCUUGAAAAAACUAUUCAGCCAAGGAGUUCAGGACGCCCACGAUAUAGGCCACUAAGGGAUCAAAAUGCCUCUUCAGACACCAGCCAUGUCAGGCCUAGAUAAUCACCUAGUGCCCGGCGUCCAACAGUCCCAGGGCAACUCUCAAGCCGCAACUCUAGAACAUCAACACGUGUGGGAUCCCAGCCGGAUUCCAAAGGAGAAUCCCGGAGGCAGGAAGCUGUAACAGGUCUUAGCACAACAAACCCCAGAUGUUGAGGGAACCACUGGUGACUCCUCAACAGUGGUACAAUCAAGAGUAUCUACACUCUCAGAAGCUUGGUCUGAUGGAAAGUCCUAUGUAUCAUGGAGAAAGGCAGCAACGAAUACGCUCCCAUGAACGGCCAGACCUGGAUGAACGCAUCCAUUGCUGCGUCGAGAUAAAACCUGAACCCAGCUGAGAAACAACAACAUGAGCGGUUUGCCCUGGACAAUGAAGAGGUCUAGAUGGAGCGGACCCUGAAGGAAGUCCAACACAUGAAACACUGUGGAAAAAAAAAAGGUCAAUCGUUGGCGUCCCACCAGUGCAGGUAAAAAUUCAGGAUGAAGUCCGGAGGGGAGCCGAAAUCGCCUCGUUAUUUUAGGCCCCCUUGUGUCGAAGCUACCAAUGGAGUCAUGCAGCUUGCUGUCCAGUGCAUAAAGAGCCGCCAUGCGGUGCUCCAUGGGAAGGCCACAUUGGCGUUGCCACACAAGCAGAUGGUGUGUUGGACCUAUUCACAUCCACCGGUGUUCCUUCAUUCAGAGCAUCAUUAGCCAUUGGAAAAAUCUAAGUCAGCGGGUCACUGAUAUCAAGGAGCUAGUCUUGCUCCAGGCCCUUGUGCACAUUCUUACCAAAAUGUGCCAGAAAAUUGCAAACACCAGGUCAAAGUCAGGGGUAAAGGCCACUUUAUCCGAUAGUGUAGGAGGAGGGCACCCCACCCUAAGCUUCGCCAUGACUUCCUUAUCCAGAGGGCGGUGGACACCUGAGGAACUUCGAAACGUGGCCAGGGAGCAUCCACUCCGAGGCGCGUGGACGUGUAAGGGGACAUGGGUUAAAGAGAGGCCAUCCCAAAGGAUCCAGUAUCUUCAUGGGAUCGACCGCAAAGGUCGACUGUGGACAUAGAGCAUCAGCCGGGGAAAUGUUGACCACCAUCUACCUAACAUAGCGGGAGUAACAACCAAAGGUGCCUUUGCCGGGCAAGCAGCGUACAAGUUGUCAGCCUUACAGAAAUGAAGUUGUCUUUGUGAAGAAGCUGAAAAAGAAAUAGUGCAAUCGGGGGCCCCCGAGAAGAUGUUCACAUCCACACUUCCAGCCGUACCGGAGCCAAAUCUAGCCAAUUUUUUUUGUCCUUGUGCGUGGGGGCCUCUUAGCCUGUCAAGGGAUGCUUGCAUGCGGAGCUUGUCCCCAGGGGGUGGAGAGACCCAUCUGAGUUAGAGCCUCUAGAGCCAGGGGCGAAACGAGUAGGCUGCGAGGCAAUCGGGGGGGUCAACCCCAUGGGAGGUGGCAAGCGCCUUGGGUAGGGAGUCCAUGAAAGGGACACACAGGCAGGCCUGGAGGCCUUCUGACACAUAAAGACUGAGACAUCGGCCAUAGUAGUUCCACUGGAACACAGAAAAAAGCAAAGGUCAGUGAGGUAGAGGGCCCAUGGCAGGCUUGGGGUCACCCAGAAUGCAAGAGGGGGUCAACCAACAAGCAGAGCUUAAAGCAGAGCAGCCCAAUAGAGAAGGGGUCACCCUCUGUCUGGUGGAAAUAUUUGUGAAUGAGAAGAUGGGCUGGCUGUGAGUGAUCAGACGGCACCCUGUGACUGGUCAUGAGUGACAGAAUGGCUAGCUGUGAGUGACAGGAUGGCCCACCUGUGUUCGGAUGUGAGCAACAGGAUGGUCCACCUGUGGCUGGAUGUGAGUGACAGGAUGACUCCUUGUGGCUGGCUGCCAGGAAUAGGAAUCAGCAGCCGAAACAUCAUGGCUCGGACAGUACUGGGAAGGGUCACUCAGGCACUAGACAUUGUAAGUCUGUGAGGUCAGUGUGACGAAGUGCCCUUUGCCACUUGGUCCUGGAGAGACCUGCUUGCCAGCCUCCUGCCCUGUGACUAUGGCCCCUGGGAGAUUUUUCCCUUUAAAACCAGCAUUUGGGCUUAUAGACUUUUAUUGGACUGUGUAUGGCCCUUUAAGGACUGUAUUUGGGCUUCUGAGACUUAUUGGAACAAUACCCCUUUAAGACGGUGUCCCCAGAGACCCAGGACCGGUGCAAAUAAUUUUGGGUACAUAGGCGAAGAUGCAUUUUUCCGCCCCCCCCAAAAACAUAUUCGCCCAUGUGCCUCUUAACCUCCCUUUUGUGUUUCUUAUCCCGUCUUUUAAAUAUCUGACUCCCUUUAGUGUAUUUUAUCUCCUAUUUUUGCCUUUGUGUGUCUCCUAUCUCUCCUCUUUGUAUGACUCUUACAUCCUCACACAUUUUGUGUCUUACUUCUCCCAGCCCCUUUGUGUGACUCCUUUUCUCCCAGCCCCUUUGUGUCUUUUAUUCUUCCCAGCUCCUUUGUGUGUCUCUUUCCUUCUCAAGCCCCGCUGUGUGUUUCUUUUAUAUCCAGCCCCUCUCCCUGUCCCAUAAUGGUCCCCUCCCUUCUCUGACCCAUACUGUUCCUCUCCCCUCUCUCCUCCUUUCCCUGUUCCUCAGUGUUCCUUUCCCUUCCCCCCUCUCCUCUGUUCCCUGUUGCUUAGUGUUCCUCUCCCCCCCUCCCUCCUUUUCCUGUACCUUAGGGUAUCUCUCCCCUCCUCUCCCUGUCCCUUGGUGCGCCACCCACCCCCAUAGUGGUCCACUCCCCUUCCUGGUGUGCCUCCUACCUUUCUUGUAGCGUGGCUGAGCGGAGCGAAUCCUGGUACAGUGAGCUUUUCCUGUCAGUCCUGCUAGGAACAGGAAACAGAAGUUCCUGUACCACGGUACACUCCACUUGGCAACGCUACAGUCAGGGGUGUAGAAACACUGACAGUCACACACACUCAAUGACAAACACACAGACAUCUCUGACAGCCAGACUCACUUAUCUGACACACUCAUUCAUUGACAGACACUCACACGCACACUGACAGACACACAAACACUGACAGACUCAUUGACAAACACACACUAACACACACACACACACUCACAGACACUGACACACACGUACUCACAUGCACACACGCACAUACUGACACACACUAACUCACACAUACACUGACAGAACCACACACACCUAUUCACAUGCGCACACACACACACACACACUGACACUGACAGACACACUCACUCACACACACUGACAGACACACAUACUCACAUGCACAGACACACUCACUCACACACUGACAGACACACAUACUCACAUGCACACACACACACACACUGACAGGCACACUCACUCACACACAGACACACACACACACACACACACACACACACUGACACACACACACACACACACACACACACUGACAGACACAUUCACUCACACACUGACAGACACACUCACACACUCACUCACACACACACUGACAGACACACUCACUCACACACACACUGACAGACACAUUCACUCACACACACACUGACAGACACACUCACUCACACACACACUGACACACACACACACACUGACAGACACACUCACUCACACACACACUGACAGACACACACACUGACAGACACAGUCACACACACACUGACAGACACACUCACACACACUGACAGACACACUCACACACACACUGACAGACACACACACACACACACAAUCUCACAGACACACAUACUCACAUGCACACACACACACACACAUAAAAAUUAAUAAUCUAAAUUAAAUAAAAAUUUCCCACCCAGCCUCCCUACCUGGACAGCUGGCGUGGGUCUCUCAUUGGUGGUCCAGUGGGGCUGCUGGGAGGCGUGCUGCUGAUCUCUCUGAUCUGCUCCCUCGCAGGCUGUUUACUGAUGCCGCGGGAGCCGGAAUUUGACGUCAUCAGUAAACAGCCUGCGAGGGAGCAGAUGAGAGAGAUCAGAGCUCCCUCGCCACCUCGGCAUCCAAUUCAGCCGCACGCCGCGCCGGGGAUCCAGGAGGUGACCUGGCAGGAGGGAGCACUUCCCUCCUGCCGGUCACUGGAAUUUUGCGCCCCCAGAGCCGGUGCGCCCUAAGGCGGUGCGACCCCAGACCUUCAAAAUACUUGGUUUAUGGCUACACAUUUGCAUAAACACCGCUGACCCUUACCUUCUCCUCCAUUCAGUAUUCCUGUUUCACAAUUUGAACACACAGUGAGACUAAGCUAUUUCUGAGUGAAAUUGACCAACCGCACAGCCCAAAUCUAUGGAACUGUUUUGGGCAGGAAAAUGUGCUUGCGGUCCGUCACAAAGGACUUCCGACUAACUUUUUAACCCCUGGAGGGAAUUGCCUGAAUUUUGGAUAUGUUUAUAUUUAAAGUAUGCUGAUUCAUAAUAUGGAGAUUGGAUGUAUAUUUUUAAAGUUAUAGUGAAUGUAUAAAAAGUAUAUUUUUCCUGCCUAUAUCACAGGCAGAGGGGAGGAUUUUGUGGGAAUGAAUUGGAAUGUUUUACUGUAUUAUAUGUGUUUUAUUGGUUGUUCUACAAAACCCUGUGGGCGGUACUGUAUGUGUAAAACCUGCAUAAAAGAAAGCCCUUUGGUGCUGAUUAAAAGAGAUCUUCUUGACCCUCAACACGUAGUCUUGUCUCGUGAUUGGAGGGGAACUGCUACAUUCACACUGGGGAUUGCUAUACUUUGUAUACUCCCCUGAGCUUUAAUCACUUAGCUCUUUUAAGAGCUGGUUCCUGAUACGCUCUCCUGGAGGAGAGGUCUUCACCACAUGGUCCUGGAGGACAGAGGCUGAUCCAGGGUGGAAGGAAGAUGGCGAGACUCUAGUUAAGCUACCGUGGUUGUGGAGUCUGUGGUGGUUGUGGUGUCCGGUGCGGUGGUUGUGGUCUUCGGCGCAAGCUAGAAAAGCGUCCAUCAACAGAGUACGAGGGAUUCCGUCAGUAAUAAGGGGCCUGAACACCAGGCAUACAGAGAUGUGGAACUCUGCAACAGACAAUCUCCCCUACGGGGGGUGGGGGGAGGGUGCUGGAAAACACAAAACAAACAAUACAAUUUAGUAGGUAGUAAUGCAAACAAACAGUGAGGGGGAGCAGCGCAUCCAUGUCUACAGAGUACAUACUGUGCUGUCCUCACAUAAGAAAGAACCUGCAAGAGAGAGGAGGAAAAAAAGGGGAUCAGCCACAUGGCCAGUAGAACCCCCCAUGCAGCGCUGCAAGUGUGGCCCAAUGGGUGAGACAAAAAGCAAGCGCGUGGGAGCCACGUGGCUCCGAUAAAAUGGCCGCCAUGGCCUAAUGCUGCAAAUGCAGCCGCUUGGCGUAAAGCGCCCACCAACCGGGAGAGCACACAGGAUGCGGCGGUUGAGUACAUGGCGCAGAGCGUUGAAAUCUAUUUGGGGGUGGGGGUGUGUGGGAGAGCCAACAAGGGCAAAGGGGCGUGGCGGACUCACAAGAGUGCUGCGGUUGUAGCAAUGCACAGUAAGGGGAGACCAGAGCAGGGGAAAACCCACAAAGUUGUCCACACUUGCCCCACACAAAAGUAAAUGUAAUAAAUAACCAAACAUACUAACUAAAAACAGCUUAGAAAUCAAGGCAAACAUGCAGCAUAAAGUAAUACCUGAACAAUAAAGCAAUAAACAGCCCCGAGCAGACACUCUCUGAGUUAGGGAAUGCCCAUCAGGCACACAGCCGAAGAGCCCCACACAAAAACUGGAUGGAAUAGAUAACCAAACAUACUAACUAAAUACAUCUUAGAAAUCAAGGCAAACAUGCAGCAUAUAAACAAUAAAUACAUACAACAUAUACAACAAUAUACAGGAACAAUAAAUCAAACAGUCCAGAGCAGGCACACUCUCUGAGUUGGGGAGCUCACCUGGAGGCAGCAGCAAAGAAAGAGGAAGUGGGAGGGUCUGCCUGAGAGUUUUUUGUUCUACUGUUCUUUUGUUCUGAUUGGUAGUUUCUGAAAAGUUAUAUUAACUAUUUAUUUGCUACUGGAGGUUUCAGUAAAGAAGGUAAAGCAAAUAUGAAGCCUCCAGUCUUGCCAUAAAAUUUAGAUCUGUUUAGUUUAGAAAAGCAGUGCAUAAGAGGGAUAUGAUAACAUGAUAAGAAUAUAUUCAGGGCCAAUACAAACUGUUGCGUAGAGAUCUGUUUGUAAACAGGACUAUACAUAGGACAAAAGGUCACACAUUUUGACUGAUAAAAAGAUUUAGGAAAGGGUUCUUUACAAAAGAUGUGGAAUUUUCUGCCUGAACUGGUCAUUGUAUCACAUCUGUACAGAUUUGUAAAGAGUGACUGGAUGAAUUGUUGCAAAACCAUAAUAAUCAGGGUCAUAAUAUUUAAUCUUCAAUCUCAGUUAGUGGACCAUGUUCAGCAGGUCACCUUGCUACAUAAAUACUUAUACGAUAUUAUUAAAUUAAACUAUGAUAUGGAUGGUAUAAUAGGGAUAGGGCUCUAAAUGUGUUAUGUGCUUGAGACUUAUAACUUACCCUACAAUGUACACAUCAAUGCAAACUAGAUAUGUAUUCAGAUAUAUUCAAAGAAAGCUUAUGUGUUUUCUACCUAUCAUAACUACCUUAUCCAAGACAAUAAAUCUAUGGAUGCGUCUAUCACCCAAAAUAUUAAUAAAUGUGUACAUGAAAUAUUGGUCAGAAACCUGAAUGACAAUAAUACAAACUGCGUGCACAAAAAAUACAGUGGCAAACUACAGGUAUAAAUGGUAACGCAUGAGAAUAUUGUAGCAAUCCAAGAAUAGAUGAUCCAAGAUUCAGUCAGUACCUGAGAGUGGUAGGUGUUUCUGCAGGAUGUAAAAUGCAGAUCUUCACUGAGUUUCAGAGUGGUAGGUGUUUCUGCAGGAUGUAAAAUGCAGAUCUUCACUUCAGAUCUAGAGGAGUCUGGUGUUCACUCCUCCUUGUCCCUUCUAUCUCCUCUCCUUCCUUCUACUUACUUAACAGUUCACUAGAUAUACUAUUGACUUCCAUUUGAUUACAUGGGUCACUUGUGAUUGGUUGGUGCUAUGUUUGCUUUUUCCCUCCUGGCCUUUGGCUACACAACACACAUCUAACAUGCCCCUGGGGUCUUUCUCAUAUGUACCUGAAUAGAGUUACAGAUUGCUAUCUUUAUAUGACCCACUGGAAUCCCAACAAGAUUAUUAUCAUCAAACAUUCCCAUUGUCUCUUGAGUUGUGUGGACAACACUACGGAUAAAACCUACUAUCUUGACAUACUUUUGUUUAUGGCUGCCCAUCCUAUAAACAAAAACCUCUAUUUCUAACUGACCACAUUCGGCCCUACAGCCAUCACGCAUACUCCCAUUCUCACACAUUUUGAUAUUAUAUUAGUACCCAUUUAUAAAACAUAAUGCCAAGAAUUUAUAAAAUUAGUUACUCCUCCAGCAGCAAUGGGGUUAAUCUCUGUAUGUGCAGGAUUUUAAAGCAGAGUGCUGCACAUACACAAUUCAGGUACAUUAUCAUUUGAAAUCGCUGAUCAUGGGGCUUGGAGUAAUCCUUUAAAGAAACACAAAUCAGGUUUUGAGUGGUGGAGCGUUUGUUUUGAUUACCUGGAAGAAACCAUUAUUCCGUACGUGAAUGCAAUCUGCUAAUUGUUGGAUUAACAUUUGUCACCAAGUGGUUCCUGUUCAGGAAUCAUACAGAAUACAAUUUUUAAAUUAGCUGUGCUUCUCUCUAGCUAUCACUUUAAUGGUUCUGGUUAGUAUGUCUAGAAUGUAUUGAUAGUAAUCAAUCAUAAUGCUAUUUUCAACUCUUUCUUCUAUAUAAAUAAUCAUUAAAACUGGCAAAUUUGGGGUCUUUGCAUAUUUUGCAAGGGGACAGGCUUGGUUUGUGUGCCGCAACCCACUGGAGAAGAUACCUGGAUAUUUACUUAAAUGACUAUUUAGGUAAGCUUGAGUGCAUUUAACAAUACAAUGUUUUGUUUUUUUUUCUUUUCUUUUUAUAGAACAUCAUCAAAUACAAAGGGAGAAAUGUACAACUAUAUUCUUUAACAAAGCUUGGUAUCAUGUUGUCAAAGACAUCUACCUAAAUUAUUCCCUUCAUAUCAAAGCUUCCGUGUAGUAACAACACCAAUGGUCGUAUCUGAAUAUACAAAAGCAACAGGAAUCCUCACUUCAAACAACACACAUUUUUGAAAAUUAGUUCCUCUGUCUCAGGAAGAUCUCAGAGUAUAGUUUCAACAACUGGUAUGGCAUGCUCGGCAUUCUCAUCCUUUUGUAGGGCAAAUUAUUUUUUUAAGUUUAGUUGGACAGUAAUAGCAUCUUGAUCCAAGGAAGUAUUUGGAAACUAGCUGGAAGAUACAUAUUUUACUUCUUAAAUGCAGUAAUAAUGACAUAAGAAUUUGUAUUACUUUUUUAAUAAACAUUUUUAUAUCUCAC